rnacentral:rRNA from 1 species
AGAGUUUGAUCCUGGCUCAGAUUGAACGCUGGCGGCAGGCCUAACACAUGCAAGUCGAACGGUAACAGGAAGAAGCUUGCUUCUUUGCUGACGAGUGGCGGACGGGUGAGUAAUGUCUGGGAAACUGCCUGAUGGAGGGGGAUAACUACUGGAAACGGUAGCUAAUACCGCAUAACGUCGCAAGACCAAAGAGGGGGACCUUCGGGCCUCUUGCCAUCGGAUGUGCCCAGAUGGGAUUAGCUUGUUGGUGGGGUAACGGCUCACCAAGGCGACGAUCCCUAGCUGGUCUGAGAGGAUGACCAGCCACACUGGAACUGAGACACGGUCCAGACUCCUACGGGAGGCAGCAGUGGGGAAUAUUGCACAAUGGGCGCAAGCCUGAUGCAGCCAUGCCGCGUGUAUGAAGAAGGCCUUCGGGUUGUAAAGUACUUUCAGCGGGGAGGAAGGGAGUAAAGUUAAUACCUUUGCUCAUUGACGUUACCCGCAGAAGAAGCACCGGCUAACUCCGUGCCAGCAGCCGCGGUAAUACGGAGGGUGCAAGCGUUAAUCGGAAUUACUGGGCGUAAAGCGCACGCAGGCGGUUUGUUAAGUCAGAUGUGAAAUCCCCGGGCUCAACCUGGGAACUGCAUCUGAUACUGGCAAGCUUGAGUCUCGUAGAGGGGGGUAGAAUUCCAGGUGUAGCGGUGAAAUGCGUAGAGAUCUGGAGGAAUACCGGUGGCGAAGGCGGCCCCCUGGACGAAGACUGACGCUCAGGUGCGAAAGCGUGGGGAGCAAAUCAGGAUUAGAUACCCUGGUAGUCCACGCCGUAAACGAUGUCGACUUGGGAGUGGUGCCCUUGAGGGGUGGCUUUCCGGAACUAACGCGUUAAG